rnacentral:misc_RNA from 1 species
GUAAGAGUAUAUUUUGCAAGUUCUUCUCGUCUGCCCUAGCUCGCUCGCUCCUCUUCCGCGAUCUCCUCGUGUUUUCUGCAACCAAACUGCUUUUGUGUUUAUGACGACUAGCCAGAUGAAGACAAUCGAGCUGGAGGAAGGAUGGAACUUCAUGCAGAAGGGAAUCACAAAAUUAAAGAAAAUCUUAGAAGGCCAUCCAGAUUCAUUCAGCUCCGAAGAGUACAUGAUGCUCUACACAACUAUCUAUAACAUGUGUACACAGAAGCCCCCUCAU